AGCAGAAGCUACAGACACGAGAAAAGGUUGAAGUAAGAAGAACAUUAACAAGACUACUAAAAUCACCAGCCAUACAUUCAGCAUCAUCCUUGGUUGCUACUAUAUCUCAAGAUUAUUCUCUUAUGGUGUUAGUGAAUAUAAAACUAGCUCAAGGCUUCUACUUCUUCAAUGCCACCAAGAUGGGGCUUCCCACUGUCAAUCGUACGCUCCCAUCUUUGGCUACCACCAUGGCUUUUUCUUCUACGGCCACCACCGCCGACAUCAGUACGGCUUCCUAUAGGGAGGAUCUAAGCAAGAAGAUUCGAAAACCAUAUACAGUUACCGAGUCCAGGGAGAGCUAGACGGAGCAGGAGCAUAACAAAUUUCUCAAAGCUCUCAAAUUGUUGGUUUAUCUUUAUCUCCAAUUAAGGUUACUGUGGAAUUACUAUUGCUCUUAUCGAUCACCAUUUUUCGUAACUGAUGCAUUUCAAAUUUUGGCUAAUGCAAGAUUAGAAUUGAUCAUUUCUUCCCCUAUCCCAUUCCUUCCCCCAGUUGUUUACUCUACAAGUAGACUCGAUUGGUUGAUAAUUUUAACCAGUAAAAUAGCUAAUUGCACCCUUAAUCUUUUAGGUUAUUGCAGUAGUUUGUUCUACAAUCUCCGAAAGGGUGAACUCAAGUACUUUUUUGGCUUACAUGUAUGUGCUUUCUUAAUAUGUGAGAUUUGGGUUCUGGCUAAUGCCAGGCUAGGAUUGCCAAAUUUCUCUAAUUUCAUUAUAUUUAUGAGUUUCUCUAUAAUUAAAUGAAAUUUAUAGCUCUUGAUUGGGAAUUUUUUUUACUAGUGAAGUAAUGAGUAAGCAAGUAGGGGACUUAUUAGUAAACAUUUUGGGUUGUGUUGUACUUUCAUAUUUUAGUAAGCUCUUGCUAAUAAACAUGAUGCAUUUGUUGACUUUUGAUUACACCAUUGAAAUUUUUUUAACAAAUAUUAGAACUGGUCCUGAUAUAUAUAAUAGAAAUAACGCCGAAGAACCUUUAAGGAGGACUUGCAACAACAAAUCAUGUAUAAGAUAAGAAUUGAUUGUUAUGUUUCUGCUAUCCCUUUUAGGGAAGAGGCAUGCUUGCUGACUGUUUGUUUUCCAUUUCUGUUUAUGCACAUUCAUCAUAUUUCAGGUGUGCCUCAGGGCUAUAAAUCAUGUUUAAAGUCAGCAACUUUAAUUACGUGAACCCUCUUCACUCUUCGUGUAUCAUUAACAAGGAUAAAAUCCUGCUAAAAAUAAUAAUUAAAUAUCUCAUUCUGUUCACAUAUAAAGGAUCAAGGUGAGCAUCUUACAAUUGCUAGUGUUGGCUAAACUAUUCCUUCUAUAUACUCUUUACCGAAGGAUAAUUCUAACAUUCCUUUAAAAGAUAUAGGACAUGGAAUAUGCUCAUUUGGUUUAAUUUGAAUUCAUGUUUCUGCUACGUUUGACAUCCACCAAUGUCAUGAUAGAUUACUAUCAUUUUGGUUAAACUAUAUAUAAUUACCAUUUGGAAACCUAUACUGGGAUAAGGUUGUCUUCUAUGUUUUGUGUUGCCUCUGUUGCUAAUUGCCUUCUUUUAUUAAGUAUUAUACAAACUUUGGUGCAAGAGUGAUGCUUGCAUCUUGCAUAGUCUAGGAGAAUGAUGAUCUCAUUAUAUUUAUUUUGAUUAACAUUUUUUGCUGCUCUGCUGUUGUGAAUCAUUUUUCCUCCUCUUAUUACUACUUUGAUUAAUCUCAAGGGAUGAAUCACCUUCCUUAAUAACGAAUUUGGUGCAUUUGGUUUCAUAUGUUGUGAUAAUAUUACUUUGUCUUUUAGUCUUUAUUUAGAUACACCCAUAGAUUGGUUGUAUCUCUGGAUUAGCCUUGGGUUUAUUAUAAUUCUCCUUGGUGGAACAUCAUCAAAAAGUAAUCUGCCAAGAGAAAAAUAUGACAAAAGGCCAGAAGAAUGGACAUUGUGUUUAUAGUAUUUAAGUUUAUGCUUAUGUUUAUCUCUUAUUUCUAUAUGCCUUCUUAUCUCAUAUGGUCCUUUUGUUUGAUUACCUUGGUUUGUAAGCGAUGGCAAAGUCAAAUAAAUAAAUUUUUGCUAUCCAAUGUGAUAAUCCAAGAGCAUGGAUCAGACAAGCAGCUAUAUUUUGACAUCCUUACUGUCCAAUGUGAUUGUGCUUCAGUUUUAGGAUACAUGAGUUCUUGAGCAAUAUAUGUAGAGAUAGAGAUACUUGCAGUUGCACAAGGAUUUUCUGUCACUAGCAACUUUCUCUAACACCAUUUCUUAUCUUAUUCUUUAUAUUUGUACUGCAUGGCAUCAAGGGCAAUGGUGAAUAUGGUGGCGCAGCAAUAUGGUGUAUUGGCUUUCAAAAAAUCUAGGGUCAAGGGACAACAAUAUUAGGAGGUGAUUUUGGGUUCCAUUCUCUCAGAGUCAUGAGAUAAGUAAUGGAGGAAAACUAGAUAUUGAUGAGGCUUCAUCAGAUUUCUAAAGAGGCAGCUUUGCAUCAUCUGGUUUUUCAAGAAAUUAUAAUAUUAUGCCUUCAAGAAGUAUAGAUCCAUGAGCCCAACUAGCACUUUGACAUCCUUAUGUGAAGAUGUUGACAUUGUUGAGUGUUUUCUUAUGUUGAAUUUAAGAUUCUAGCCAAUAAACUAAUUAUUAAGUUUUCACAAUUUAACUUAUACUGUUGUUGCAA